rnacentral:snoRNA from 1 species
AGGUCACUUCAAAAAGGGCUGGUGGAACCAAAACUAGGAGCUCUUAAAUGCUGUGACCUAAGAUCGAAGUUCUCCAAAGGAUGUGAUAGUCACACACAUUCAUGAUUGGUGAUGCAGGA